GUUGAACGCUGGCGGCAGGCUUAACACAUGCAAGUCGAGCGGGGGAAGGUAGCUUGCUACUGGACCUAGCGGCGGCCGGGUGAGUAAUGCUUAGGAAUCUGCCUAUUAGUGGGGGACAACAUCUCGCAAGGGAUGCUAAUACCGCAUACGUCCUACGGGAGAAAGCUGGGGAUCUUCGGACCUUGCGCUAAUAGAUGAGCCUAAGUCGGAUUAGCUAGUUGGUGGGGUAAAGGCCUACCAAGGCGACGAUCUGUAGCGGGUCUGAGAGGAUGGUCCGCCACACUGGGACUGGGACACGGCCCAGACUCCUACGGGAGGCAGCAGUGGUGAAUAUUGGACAAUGGGGGGAACCCUGAUCCAGCCAUGCCGCGUGUGUGAAGAAGGCCUUAUGGUUGUAAAGCACUUUAAGCGAGGAGGAGGCUACUUUAGUUAAUACCUAGAGAUAGUGGACGUUACUCGCAGAAUAAGCACCGGCUAACUCUGUGCCAGCCGCCGCAGUAA
rnacentral:rRNA from 1 species